UAAAAUAAACCUUGAGAAAUAUUUCAAGAGGAAAAAAUUUUGUUGCCUGAAAUGUUUUCAAGUCGUGUUUUCUGAAACAGGAGUAUUUCUUUCAGAUGAGUUUCUGAGCACCUGCUGGAAUUGUUGCUGUUUCUGGACCCUGAUGUAGCCCCAUUCAGCCUCACACUGGCCCUUCAGAGCUGGCAUGGGCUCAGAUCAUUUAUCAAAUGUGAACAACUCACCCAGCUUUGGCAAAAGCUGCCACUCUGCAUCUUCUGCUGCGGCCGGAGUGAGGAGCUGGAAAUCUACCAUGGUGUUUUAUGAGCCCUUAACCAUCGAGAUCGCCUCUUCAUGGCCUGUGUUUGAAGAAGCCUCAACAGAAAAGAACAUCCUUCCCCUUACAUUUCAUUUACAGUAGAUGAAGGAAAACCAAAGGAACAGAGUGAAACUAUUCCUGUUCCUCCAAGUUCAGUGAAGGACAGAAAUUUCCCCUUUAGCCCAAUAAUGAGAUAAUGUGUUCUGAGCUUUGUAUGAAUGGCAUUUAUUUUUGUUUUGUUACUGCUUGAUGGCAAGAAUUAACCACUUAUUGCUCAGAGCAAUACAGUGCUGAACAGUUCAGUAUCAUACAGGUGUGUCAACAAAAUUAUUUUAGAUUCAGUUGAGUAAAUAUCAAGGCGUAAACUCAGGUUUAAUCAUGAAGCACUGUUAUCUUUGUAUGCAGGUGUACUGGAGUAGACAAAAACCUGCAAUAUUCUGUCUCUCUAGCUCCCUGAUACUUUUUAUACUGAGGUAAAACCAUCAUUAUUCUCAAGUAUAAAGGUAUAAAUAUGCAAAGAUGCACACUGUGCUUAGUUUUCCAGUUCUGCUAAGUAAUGCAUUCUUUGCAGGAGUCAAACAGAAAACUGGUGCAAAGCCUGGUGCUGGAAAAAAAACUUGUCUGGAGUGAUGGAUGUCCCAUAUGCAUUCCAAAUGUGUAAGAUGACAGGAAACUCAGCAGAUCUUCAGAAGAGGAGGAGAAGCUCAAGUGUUCUUAAUAGUCAGUAUCCCAGGUGAAGAACACUCAAAACUGAUGGCUCCAAAGGCAUGUCUGAAACUUCAAAAGCCAAGUGUUCUCCUGUGCUGAGCUGCUUCCUUCUCCAAGGAAAUCUGCAGAGUUUCACUACAUAUUCAAGAAUAUGCAGACAUAAGACCACUCCCCCACAAGAAAGGCAUGCAGAAAGAAGGCACACUCAGUGGCAAGCAACCUUCAGGGAAGUUCAGCAGUUGUACAACAAGCCAGACAUUUUUGUGGGUUAAAAGGUUACAAGUUGAGCCCUGAAUGCAGUGUGUUGACAGCAUAUAGAUGGCACUUCUGCUUCGUGGCCAAAACAAAGGAAAGAUGCAAGGCAACCUGACAGCUAUAGCUUCUCUCUCUGAUGCCAUCAGAACAGAGAACAAUAGCCCCAGAAAUGGGAUCCUGGGAACAAAACCCCUUCUGACACUGCUGCAGGGAUGGAGAGCUUUAAUUUUUGCAGUUGGAAACAUCUAAUAGACCUUGCUCUUGAUGAAACCUGACAGGGGAAGCUGCUCUCUGUGGGAAAUCUUUUCUGAAGCUUAAAAUAAAGAGAAAUAAUUGAGUGCCUUGGCCUUCACUGCUAACAGUAAGAAGUUCAAUUAGCACAGAAAAACCUGGAAAGACAAUUUUCUCCUGCCCAGAAGUUCAAUGCAGUGCUCAUGCAGUGCUCUUGCACUGUCUCCUCCAAUGUCUUACCAGCUAGAGAUGAUCCCAAAUGUGCAAAGGGUGAACAGGGGCCAGCUCUCAAAACCAGAAAUCAUGCUUGCUAGAGUUGCCUCCUAAUCUGAUGGUCAUAACUUGAUUUCUUCCUCCUCUCUGUGCCCCAGCAGCAGAAUUCCCCCAAGAGAUACUAUUCCUGAUUGCCAUAUCAGCCACUUUCUCAAGAGUUCAGCUCUGAAGUGUAAUUUAGACUGAUUUGUACAUCAUUUUUCCCAGCACAUCUCCAAUAGAGUUGAGAAAUUUAUGAAGCUUCUUGAAAAUUAUGAAGCACUGUGCUUCAUUCAAAUGGGAUCUAUACAAACCACAAAACGGUUUGCAGGAACCUUCCAAGAAUGUUUCUGCACCGAAGCCUCUGCAGUAGCUGCAGUUCCAUGUCAGCUGGGAUGUAUCAAUAAAAGGUG